rnacentral:rRNA from 1 species
CGCUUUAAGACUUUAUUUAAAGUAUCGCCUGCUCAGUGGUUUAUCUAAAUAGCCGCAGUUUAACCUGUGCUAAGGUAGCAUAAUAAUUAGCUUUUUAAUUAAAAGAUAGUAUGAAAGGCUAAACACGGAGCCUCUGUUUCAUUUAAUCAUAAUAAAAUUAUAAAACUAGUAAAAAUACUAGUAUAUAAAUAAAAGACGACAAGACCCUAAUAAACUUAACAUUUAAUUGGGGCAAUAAAAUAAUAAAACUUUAUUUAUAAAUAUACAACUGUAAUACACAAUAAUAAAAUAGUUACUAUAGGGAUAACAGCGCAAUUCUUUUUAAAAGCUCAUAUUAAAAAAAGACAUUACGACCUCGAUGUUGAAUUAAUUAUCCGAUAUUCAGUGCAAAAGCUAAUAUGGUAGGGUCUGUUCGACCUACUUUCAAUU